rnacentral:lncRNA from 1 species
GGGGGGGGGGGGGUGAGGAGGAGGUGAGGUGGCAAAUGCGUGUGACAUGUCAAAACACGCAAACAAGUUACUGUCCACGUCAUCAAAACCAUGGCCGAAAACCCCUUGAAGGUGAAAUGGCCCAAUAGUAUCCUUGAAAAUGAAAUGGACCAAUUACCCCAAUAGAAAGAGAGUUUUAAUAAAAUAUUAUGAAAGAUACUCCCUCUUGUCGAGAAUUUCAGUGUUUUGACCUUUUUAUGAAAGUUGAGCUAGAUAUGAUCCUGAUUCGAAACUUUUUCAAGAUCUAACCUUUUUCCUACCAUCGUGGUUCAUGACGGUAGUGUAUAACUUGCCUACCGCCAAGGCCCCUGAUGGUAGGGAUGCAUAUCCUACCAUAAAAAAUGAAGUAUCAGAUAGAGUGCUUGUACGCACCUACCGUCGGGGCCCUGGACGGUAGGGGUGCACAUCCU